rnacentral:rRNA from 1 species
GUGUCAGCCGCCGCGGUAAUACGUAGGGUGCAAGCGUUAUCCGGAUUUAUUGGGCGUAAAGAGCUCGUAGGCGGUUCGUCGCGUCUGGUGUGAAAGUCCAUCGCUUAACGGUGGAUCGGCGUCGGGUACGGGCGGACUGGAGUGCGGUAGGGGAGACUGGAAUUCCCGGUGUAACGGUGGAAUGUGUAGAUAUCGGGAAGAACACCGAUGGCGAAGGCAGGUCUCUGGGCCGUCACUGACGCUGAGGAGCGAAAGCGUGGGGAGCGAACAGGAUUAGAUACCCUGGUAGUCCACGCCGUAAACGGUGGAUGCUGGAUGUGGGGCCC